rnacentral:tRNA from 1 species
AUCUUCCUAGUACUAACAACAGUAUAAGUGACUUCCAAUCACCUGGUCUUGGUUAAAGCCCAAGGGAGGAUA